rnacentral:rRNA from 1 species
GACGAACGCUGGCGGCGUGCCUAAUACAUGCAAGUUGAGCGCUGAAGGUUGGUACUUGUACCGACUGGAUGAGCAGCGAACGGGUGAGUAACGCGUGGGGAAUCUGCCUUUGAGCGGGGACAACAUUUGGAAACGAAUGCUAAUACCGCAUAAAAACUUUAAACCCAAGUUUUAAGUUUGAAAGAUGCAAUUGCAUCACUCAAAGAUGAUCCCGCGUUGUAUUAGCUAGUUGGUGAGGUAAAGGCUCACCAAGGCGAUGAUACAUAGCCGACCUGAGAGGGUGAUCGGCCACAUUGGGACUGAGACACGGCCCAAACUCCUACGGGAGGCAGCAGUAGGGAAUCUUCGGCAAUGGACGAAAGUCUGACCGAGCAACGCCGCGUGAGUGAAGAAGGUUUUCGGAUCGUAAAACUCUGUUGGUAGAGAAGAACGUUGGUGAGAGUGGAAAGCUCAUCAAGUGACGGUAACUACCCAGAAAGGGACGGCUAACUACGUG